rnacentral:tRNA from 1 species
GUCCCAGUCGGUAAAGAAUCUGCCUGCAAUGCAGGAGACCUAGGUUCGAUUCCUAG